rnacentral:rRNA from 1 species
CCUACGGGUGGCAGCAGUGAGGAAUAUUGGUCAAUGGACGAGACUCUGAACCAGCCAAGUAGCGUGAAGGAUGACUGCCCUAUGGGUUGUAAACUUCUUUUAUGUGGGAAUAAAAUGUUCCACGUGUGGCUUUUUGUAUGUACCGUAUGAAUAAGGAUCGGCUAAUUCCGUGCCAGCAGCCGCGGUAAUACGGAGGAUCCGAGCGUUAUCCGGAUUUAUUGGGUUUAAGGGGAGCGCAGGUGGGUUGUUAAGCCAGUUGUGAAAGUGUGCGGCUCAACCGUAAAAUUGCAGUUGAAACUGGGAGUCUUGAGUACAGUAGAGGUGGGCGGAAUUCGUGGUGUAGCGGUGAAAUGCUUAGAUAUCACGAAGAACUCCGAUUGCGAAGGCAGCUCACUGUACUGUAACUGACACUGAGGCUCGAAAGUGUGGGUAUCGAACAGGAUUAGAUACCCGUGUAGUC